GAGCGGUAGAUGGCCGCCCUAAAUCUCGUCAGCGACUUUAGUCGAGAGCGGUCCAUGAGGCGUCUCUAUGUAUGGAAUGGUUGACAUGACGUUUUUCUUCCUGUUCAGCCUUCUGCAUUUGCUGGCACUGCUAGCUGGUGUAAUAAUGCACGCUUGAAUGGCGCUCUAAACGGCGGUCGAUACACCUUGUGAUGGAGCCAGUGAUAAUCUGGGGCUGCACAUGGCUGGGUGAGGUCCAGUGGAAAAAGACCAGAACGACCACCAGUGCUCCCAAACUCCCAACCUAGUGCAACAUUCACAGUUCCAGCAGAGGGCUUUCGCACACCUGCAUGUCAGCUGUGAUCAACAGCAGUACAAGAAAUUUCUGCCACUCAUUCAUCCCUUGAGUGUUGAGCCUUGUGACAACAACACCUGUAGACAGAAAGGAAGGAAGGAAGGACUCCCACCUGUUCGGACUGAGAGCUAUUGACCCCUACUGUUGUCCCCAUUGUGUCGCAUUGACAUCGUGGAUUCCUCCUCUGAGUUUGAUGGUGAGUCCUCCCACCUGGACUUAGAGAAAAGUAACUGGAUUGCCUUCUUUUCCAUUUGGAGUUCUGCUGCACCUUGUGGUGCGGUAGGCCUGUAGCACUCACAUCUUCACACACAGUUGGUUAUAUGUAAGACCACUGACUGACAUUUUUCACUCCUACUGUUUCAUCCCGAGAAUUUAGGACAGUACCUUUUGGAUAAGUUUUAUUUGGGACAUUGUAACAAACUGCUGUGUAUGAAAUUCUCCUCGUGUGAAUGGUUUUUCAGUCGAACCUGAAUUGAACUGAAUUUGAUAAAUUUGUUUUUCUAUCACGGUUUAGAAUUCAGAUUACCACAGGGUGCACUCAAAAGAUUUAAAACUGAGAACUAGCACUUGUCCAAGUAUUAUUGCUAUUAUGUUUAAUUAUAUUUUUAGAAUUGUGAGUCUUGUACAACUUUUUGUUAAUCUUAUGGUGUAAUUCACUAAAGCCAGUUUGUUCUUUAAAUUCAUUUAAUUACCUUUGUGUCUCAUUUAAACACCCCACUGUGCUCAGAUAACUAAACCUAUUGUUCCAUUGAUUUAAUAUAUUUAAUAAUAUUCACUACUGUGUUACACAGUGUUAAUUUUAAUGUAUUAGUUGUACUACUUGAUUUAGUACUAUUAAAAUAAAUGAGGGUUAUCUACUCACUCUUUAGCUUACUGUCAAGACUCUGGAUUUUUGGGUUUGGUUUUUCUUUUGCAUCUUAUAAAUCAUUAUCCUUUAGUUAGCUUAGGUUCUGUUAUUCUUGUAUGCCUGAAUCUAAGUCUAGCUUUCUUUAGUGAUUAUAGUUAAUUAUUUUUUUUUCCUCUAGUUAUUCCUUAUUUCAGCCUCCCUGUAGUGUUUUUAGCAAUGUUUAUUUCUUAGUUAUUUCAUCACCCUAGGUUCAGUAAUUCUAACAUCUGAGUUUAGAUAUACCUUUCUUUAGUAAUCCUAGUUAUCUUAUUUCUUAAGUCCUUCUAGCUCUCCUCCUUGCAGUAUUUCUAGUUUUCUUAUUUUGUCACUUUAGGUUUAGUUAGUCUUUUUGUCUGCAUUCAUGCCCAUCUUCCUUUAAUAAUUCUAGUUAGGUUAUUUCUUUGUUUAGUCCCUCACUAUAGCUAUAUGUUCCUUAGUUCUUAUUACUGUUAGAUCAGCCUGGUUUCUGUUUAGGUUCGUUUGUUUUUCCCUCAUGUCUUUUUCUCUUCUAGUUAAUCAGGUUUUCUUUAGUCUUAGUGUUUCUUUAGUAUUAGAAGUAUUUUCAGCUCCCUGUGUUUUCUCCCUUUGUUUUCCCCCAGCAUAUCUCCUUAGCUUCUCCCCGCCCUUCAGCUACCUCCCGUGCUAACUACUCACACCAGAAAUUAGUCAUCUCAUCUAGUUAGGUUCAUUGUUCCAUUUACUACCUCCCAGUAUUUAAGCUCCUCUAUCCCAGUCAUAACUCACCAGUAUGUCUUGUUACCCUAUUCGUCUCUAUGCUCUUCACUUCCCCUGUGCUCCUUAGAAUCUCCUUGUGUCUCAUUUUGGAUUUGAAUUGGAUUGUUUUGUGUUCCCUUGGAUGUUCAUUUGUAAGUUGAACUCUGAUUUUGUUAAUUAAAAUUUCAAGACCAUACUA